AACGAACGCUGGCGGCAUGCCUAACACAUGCAAGUCGAACGAGACCUUCGGGUCUAGUGGCGCACGGGUGCGUAACGCGUUGGAACCUUCCCUUAGGUUCGGAAUAACUCCCCGAAAGGGGUGCUAAUACCGGAUAAUGUCUUCGGACCAAAGAUUUAUCGCCUUUGGAUGGGCCCGCGUUGGAUUAGCUAGUUGGUAGGGUAAAAGCCUACCAAGGCGACGAUCCAUAGCUGGUAUGAGAGGAUGAUAAGCCACACUGGGAGUGAGACACGGCCCAGACUACUACGGGAGGCAGCAGUGGGGAAUAUUGGAAAAUGGGGGAAAGCCUGAUCCAGCAAUGACGCGUGAGUGAUGAAGGCCGUAGGGUUGUAAAGCUCUUUUACCCGGGAUGAUAAUGACAGUACCGGGAGAAUAAGCACCGGCUAACUCCGUG
rnacentral:rRNA from 1 species